AAACCAUGAUUAGGCGACCUCACAAAAUAUAACUUGAAUCGAUCCCAUGCCUCAUGUAGAUGUUCUCCCGAUAGUUGCUUGAAAAAUAAAAUUUUAUCCCGGAGCUC
rnacentral:snoRNA from 1 species